CGGACGGGUGAGUAAUGUCUGGGAAACUGCCCGAUGGAAGGGGGUAACUACUGGAAACGGUAGCUAAUACCGCAUAAUGUCUACGGACCAAAGCGGGGGACCUCCGGGCCUCGCGCCAUCAGAUGAACCCAUAUGGGAUUAGCUAGUAGGUAAGGUAACGGCUUACCUAGGCGACGAUCCCUAGCUGGUCUGAGAGGAUGAUCAGCCACACUGGGACUGAGACACGGUCCAG
rnacentral:rRNA from 1 species